rnacentral:rRNA from 1 species
AUUGAACGCUGGCGGCAGGCCUAACACAUGCAAGUCGAGCGGAUGAGUGGAGCUUGCUCCAUGAUUCAGCGGCGGACGGGUGAGUAAUGCCUAGGAAUCUGCCUGGUAGUGGGGGACAACGUUUCGAAAGGAACGCUAAUACCGCAUACGUCCUACGGGAGAAAGUUGGGGAUCUUCGGACCUCACGCUAUCAGAUGAGCCUAGGUCGGAUUAGCUAGUUGGUGAGGUAAAGGCUCACCAAGGCGACGAUCCGUAACUGGUCUGAGAGGAUGAUCAGUCACACUGGAACUGAGACACGGUCCAGACUCCUACGGGAGGCAGCAGUGGGGAAUAGUGGACAAUGGGCGAAAGCCUGAUCCAGCCAUGCCGCGUGUGUGAAGAAGGUCUUCGGAUUGUAAAGCACUUUAAGUUGGGAGGAAGGGCAGUAAGUUAAUACCUUGCUGUUUUGACGUUACCAACAGAAUAAGCACCGGCUAACUUCGUG